UGCCAUGGGAGACACAGCUCCCGGUCAGAGCAGCAGCACUGAACCAUGGUCAUGGUGGUGUGUAAACAUGAGGGGUGAUGUUACCCGGCAGUCAGCCUGCCGCCGAAUGAUAGAGCAGAGGUGUGACACUUCUCUGCUUAGCAGUACAAAAAGAACAAACCUCAUCUAUCUUAGAGUGAGAGAGCCAUUGUCCCCUCUAUCUAAUUUUCAUGCACUAAAUACUGAAUUCUGGCGGAAGCGAUGCUGCACCUGCUUUCCUCCUCCUCUGCGUCCAAGCACAGAUGCUGACACCCAGUGGCCAUGGAGUUUCUAGCGCCUGUACGGGAUGGAAAACUUCAGCAGAGAUGCUUCAGCCGCCAUUGGCAGGUUAUAGUGGUUGAAACACUUCAAAAUCUUGCAUUCAGAGGCCAGUCAGAAAAAUGAAAAAAUAUGAGGAUGGAAAAUGAGGAAACAGAAGAAACGGCUCACCCCAGAGUCAGUUUAAAACUCCUCCAAUAUUUUCCUGAGCCCGCUGAGGACUUGACUUGCAACAACCAGCCCCGCUAAUGGAAGCAGG